rnacentral:rRNA from 1 species
UACGUAGGGUGCAAGCGUUAAUCGGAAUUACUGGGCGUAAAGCGUGCGCAGGCGGUUUUGUAAGACAGGCGUGAAAUCCCCGGGCUUAACCUGGGAAUGGCGCUUGUGACUGCAAAGCUGGAGUGCGGCAGAGGGGGAUGGAAUUCCGCGUGUAGCAGUGAAAUGCGUAGAUAUGCGGAGGAACACCAAUGGCGAAGGCAAUCCCCUGGGCCUGUACUGACGCUCAUGCACGAAAGCGUGGGGAGCAAACAGG